UUGAGUGGCGAACGGGUGAGUAACACGUGGGCAACCUGCCCAAAAGAGGGGGAUAACACUUGGAAACAGGUGCUAAUACCGCAUAACCAUAGUUACCGCAUGGUAACUAUGUAAAAGGUGGCUAUACUACCGCUUUUGGAUGGGCCCGCGGCGCAUUAGCUAGUUGGUAGGGUAAAGGCUUACCCAAGGCAAUGAUGCGUAGCCGAAUUGAGAGGUUGAUCGGCCACAUUGGGACUGAGACACGGCCCAAACUCCUACGGAAGGCAGCAG
rnacentral:rRNA from 1 species